rnacentral:misc_RNA from 1 species
UAAGUUCAAAUUCUUUUUUUACGAUAUUUUUUUUUCAAAGGUCAAUUCGGGGAAUGAGCUUUGAUUUAGCCACUCAUUCUAUAAUUUGAUUUGAGGGCAUUUAUCUACUGUCAGUUGGAUUUGUUGGGCACUAGAGAGUGGUCAUUUAGUUGUUAAGACUCAGAAAUUUCCCGUAGUUUGUAUGGGUUCAUCUGCAGAUCACUUCAAAUCUCCAUUACAGUAACGCCAAAAUGUGUAUACUGUCUUGUCAGAAGACAUUCUGUGGACGCAUUAGCUUUGCAACAGACAGUAGAGUUGUGCCCAAAACAACUAAAAGUUAGGUUUACACCCCGAAUCAAAUGGUGAUUCAAGUUUGACUCUCUAUGACAACGAGUACAUAACAUUUUUUUUGAAGAAUUGAGAUUUGAACUGAAACCAAAGAACAAAAAACUGAAAUAUAAAGAACCAAAUUGGAAUUGAAAAUUCAACUAUGUUUGGUUUGGUUUUAGUUCUUAGCAAGAAACAGAACCAAACUGGACCAGCACAUCGCUACUAUACACUGAUGAAACCAGAGGUUGUUGGAGAAAAUUUUCUGGUAUAUUUCUCAUUGAAUAAAGAUCUGCACAUGCCUUAUAUAUGUACACAUUAAUCUAGCUUGAGAAUAGGAAGCUAACUAAAAAAGGAAACAAAAAAUUAAUUACAUGAUUACAGGGAAUCAAUUAUAUAUAGAAACUAAAUUAAUUUCUAUAAUUAUGGGAUUCCAACUGUUGAAAUCAGAGGAUUGAAAAU